rnacentral:rRNA from 1 species
AAAACACUGACGAACGCUGGCGGCGUGCUUAACACAUGCAAGUCGAACGGAAAGGCCCAGCUUGCUGGGUACUCGAGUGGCGAACGGGUGAGUAACACGUGGGUGAUCUGCCCUGGACUCUGGGAUAAGCCUGGGAAACUGGGUCUAAUACCGGAUAGGACCACUGAUUGCAUGGUUGGUGGUGGAAAGCUUUUGCGGUUCAGGAUGGGCCCGCGGCCUAUCAGCUUGUUGGUGGGGUAAUGGCCUACCAAGGCGACGACGGGUAGCCGACCUGAGAGGGUGAUCGGCCACACUGGGACUGAGACACGGCCCAG